AGUACUGCUGCCUACAAAUGGGGUGCAGUAGAAAAACAAACUGUGUUGCCUUUGCCUUUUCCCAGUUCUCUCAGGAUGAAAGAAGGAAGGUUGAAUUAAUGGUUCAUUCAGCUACUCCAUAGCAAGAGAUUCUGUCAUUGUGGCACACAAUCGUGUAUGCUACCAGUGGUGGCACACACCUUACUGCUCAUAUUUUCUCCCACAAAGCACAUCUAGGAGACUUGAUUGAUAUUUUUCAUGGUGGAACACUGGAGCAACAUCAUUAUAUUCAUGUGAAGGAGGCAGCAAGAGCCAAUGGUUUCUAAAAAGCUUCCUUCCUCAGACAUAGACAAUUCCAAGUCCUACGGCGUCUUCCAAGCAGCACCUGCUUUCAGCUACUGAAGUUACAGUCAACUAAAACAAACAAACAGAAAAAGGAAUCUUGAAAAUAAAUCAGCCUAAUGCAUCUCAUCUGUAAAAUUAUAUUCCUUCUUGGAGAGAAAAAAUAUUUUGCAAAAGAGACUUACCAAAUAACCUCCAAAACAAACUGGACAGCCUCCUCAGUCUAGCUCCCAGACCCUCUCCAGAUGAUAAAAGCACAGACACAAGCAGUGCUGACCGCUUGACAACGUUUUAACUAUGCAGGUAAGAGAAAAGGGGAGGUGUGCAUUAAUUCUGGACACAUUUUAUUUUUGCGCAUGUAUACAUUUAGAAACAAUACUGCAGCAGAGUCACCACCAGAUGCCAAGUACGUAGAUUUUGGAAUUUACCUUUUUGUAGCAUUUUUAAGGAAACAUCCAACAACACACCACUCUAUUCUCCACUUGCAUUCUCUUAAAGAACAGUUAUAAACUCCCUAUUACUGACAGCAGUGUUAGCACAAGAACUGCCUAUUAUUACGUUGCGUGGAAGUGCUUGGCACAAAGCAGAUCUCAGCUGUCUAGGUGCUGCAAACCAGCCUCGGUGAAGGUCAGAAUGAACUGUAAUUUUUAGUUAGCUGUAACCAGAACCACUGCUCAAAGGAAGGCUGGGGAAAAUCUUGGACCCACAUGCAGACUCACUGCUCUGGCCACUUCUGUGAUAAUGUCGGCAUUCCUGAAACCCUCGACUGCUAACUCCAACUGGCUUUAAACCGGAGCCCCUUUCCUGUCAAAAUCCCAAGACACAGAAUCAAUAGAAACAAUGGAGAAGAGGAUGUUAUUCUACUUCACUAAGCGUUGUCCAAACACAGAAUAAAGACAGAGGCUACACUGAAAUGUAAGGGAACUGAUACUUUACAUAAUUCAGGCUGUAACCUGCAUACAUGUGAAAGGUUGUUCCUUCUUCACCAGAAGCACAGAGGUUGUAAGUGAAAACUAAUGGUAAAUCGAUUGCAAAUGAAACAGAAAGAAACAAAAACAACGUGCAGUAGUCCGACUGUCACUUAAACAGUUAAUGACCAUCUUGCAUUGGUGAACUUGCAUAAUCUCAAAACGCUUUAUUAUUGAGAAAUAAAAGCAGAUUGUUCUCUUCACAAAGAUGACAGCCAGAAUAUUUCUCUAUGAACUUCAUAGGAGGUUCCUUUCGUGUACCCAGUGCCAGGACUCCAGUGAGUGCACAAUACAGUUCUGUUAAUCAGUUACCCAACCUCACAUGUGAGGUAACAAUUCUUGUGAUACGUGGCUCUGGCUCCUUGAACUUUCUCACAAAGGAAGUCUUUUGAUGAUUAAAAAAAGCCCUAUCUCUCACUCCCCCUGACUGAACUGUGUUUGUUUCUCAACAUUUCUGUGCUACAAUAAAUCUACGGAGAAGACUUGAGGUAGUGGCACAGAUUUUACAACACACUACAGAACGCUGACAUUGUAAAUUCCUCUGUACCCACAGUUAAAAGGGACAUGUAGCAGCUUGCUGCUGCUUUGCCGUAGGAGAACCUGCCAAACAUAUGCAAAAUAAUGAAAGAAAAUAAACAUUUUAAGAACUGAUCUUGCAAGCUGUCCAGUCACCACCCAAUCACUGCCAUGGGAAUGUUUGCACUUAAAGUUAAGAAUGCGCUUAAGAGCUUUAAUGAUCCAAAGCCAGAGAAAGUAACUCCUUGCAGCAUUUGUAUUUCGGCUCACUUGAAACUAUAUACUCCUGACACCUCCCUCAGCUGUUUUAACCAGUUGAUGCAUUCUAGAUUAAAGCAAGUUAGAACUUGCUUUCCUUUUCUCUCAAAACUACGCAAUUUUUACUGUUAUUAAACACCUUCAUUAAAGUAAAGCCCUCCUCUACCUACCCUGAAGAGAACUCAUUGACACAUUACUGUGUUUCAUAACUACACUGAGUAUCCUAAGCAUGUGAUUUGCCAUAUGCUUUAUCUGAAUGCCUGAUCAUUUAAACAAAAGGAGAAACUGAUAUAUUUGACACAAUGACCAAAUCUGCCUUACUUUCUAGAAUUCCUUAGAACUUUUUGUACCCAGGUUUUACAACUGUACUGUGAGUCAUCUUCCUAGUGUAAAUAGAGAUGUCAUCAUUUUUACGACACCAUGUUUUCUUUUUCUUGCCCCAGUUUCCGUUCUGGCUUUAACUGUACAGCUUAACCUUAGACUUUCACCAUUGCUUCCUGUGUUAAAUUAGUGUGGCUGAGAACUCUUGUUGAUCCCUUCACCUCUUGCAUUUAUACUUACUGUGUAUUGCACAGUCAUUAUUAAAAGCAGUAACAUUUUCUUGGAAAUAUUUCUAGGGUCACUGAAGUCUUUUGAAUUGUUGACUGCUUGUAAUCUGCCUACAAGGAAUUCUAUAAAUCAGUGCUUAGCCAGAAGAACUGUUCGUUGCUCAUAUUGUCACUGUUCUCAAAUGCCUGGGAUUCUGUUCACAAGCACAGGAGGAUACAGUACAACAGGACUUGCUGCUGCUCGAAUGAUACAGGUUUUAAAACUCAAACCAAAACGACACAAGACUUUCACUAAAGAACAAUGUUAUAAUGGUUCUGGCGCUUUUGGCCAAUGAUGGUUUUUAAAAGGAGCAAUUUUUUCUACAGGAUCUAAAAUGUUAAGUAAACACUUUAUUUCUUAUGCAUGUAAAUAGAAAUUUUCAAAUGUAAAUGGCUUCAGUAAUUAGACUAAAUAUAUCGCACUGCAAUGUACUACGAAUCUUAAAGCCAAAGGCAAAACUCGGUUGCUCUUGUUUUGUCAUGGUGAAAAGCACAAAACGUGAAUAUUCUCAGACUAUUCAUCCUAAAAAAAGUUGAACUUGUCAUACUUGUGCCCAGUCAUCUGUACGCUCUUCCAAACUACUUCUGGAACAUCUUAUGUAUUUACAUCUGAAUAAUAUGAGAAAUGAUUGUCUCAGUGGUUGCUUCACUUCCCACUGGCUUCAGCAGCAAAACCAGUUACAGAAGCCUGAGCUUCUCCUCUUGCACCACACCAGUUUGUUUCCUCCCCAGCAAUACCCAUGGGUCUGUCUGUGGGCUCCACAAGAAGGUGGACCACAGGAAGGCUCAGGUGAUCCUGGACGGGCUGAAGUACAGUGGUGUAGGGGUGGCAAUGGGAGUCCAACAGAAGAGGAGGAACAUGGGAGGAGGGAGGACUCCCUCAGUUGACAUUAUCUUUGUAACACAGACUGAUAUCCUGAAAAGUAUCCUCCUGUGGCUCAGAAACAGCAAUGGAAAGGUGUGAAGAGUUCCUGAUGCCUUCAGUGAAGGCGAGAAGAAAAGGAAUUUAACAGCAACUGUGACUUCCAAAGUCAAAUUAAUCACAGCAUUAAACAGGUUACAAAGCUGUUCCUCCUCACCCCCAAAGACUACAAAGUACAGCUAGUAAUUCCUAUGUUUUUUUGUGAUUGCUUAUCUCUUCAGAUGUUGUGAUGUUGUUUCACCGAUGCUGUAAUCACCUUAUACAUCUUUGUUAACUCACAAAUGCACUGAAGGUCAGUGUAGGAUUAAAGAGAGGCCCAGUCAGGCAGAUUCCUCUGGCUAUGGCAGAUCCAGUGUCAGUAGUUACCCACACAGACAUCCCCAGG
ensembl:lncRNA